CCUACGGGUGGCUGCAGUCGGGAAUAUUGCGCAAUGGAGGAAACUCUGACGCAGUGACGCCGCGUGCAGGAAGAAGGUUUUCGGAUUGUAAACUGCUUUAGACAGGGAAGAAAAAAGACAGUACCUGUAGUAUAAGCUCCGGCUAACUUGGUGCAAGCAGCCGCGGUAAUACGUAGGUGGCAAGCGUUGUCGGGAUGUACUGGGUGUAAAGGGCGUGUAGCCGGGCUGACAAGUCAGAUGUGAAAGCCGGGGGCUCAACCCGCGAACUGCAUUUGAAACUGGCAAACUGGAGUGUGUGAGAGGAUAGUGGAAUUCCAGGUGUAGGAGUGAAAUCCGUAGAUAUCUGGAAGAACACCAGUGGCGAAGGCGACUAACUGGCACAUAACUGACGCUGAGGAGCGAAAGCGUGGGUAGCAAACAGGAUUAGAUACCCUAGUAGUC
rnacentral:rRNA from 1 species